rnacentral:rRNA from 1 species
UUCCUACGGGGGGAGCAGUGGGGAAUAUUGCACAAUGGGGGGAACCCUGAUGCAGCAACGCCGCGUGAGUGAAGAAGUACCUCGGUAUGUAAAGCUCUAUCAGCAGGGAAGAAAAUGACGGUACCUGACUAAGAAGCACCGGCUAAAUACGUGCCAGCAGCCGCGGUAAUACGUAUGGUGCAAGCGUUAUCCGGAUUUACUGGGUGUAAAGGGAGCGCAGGCGGCGCGGCAAGUCAGAUGUGAAAGCCCGGGGCUCAACCCCGGGACUGCAUUUGAAACUGCCGGGCUAGAGUAUCGG